rnacentral:misc_RNA from 1 species
GGAUCCCAGAAGAUGGAUUGUUUUUCCCAUCACAUUGGAUUAGUGUACUUGUAAGAAAAUUGAGGAAUGCAACUAUAUAAUGUUAUGGGGAGUAGUUCAAGGGCCUUUGUUUCGCCAUUGUCCUCCUAUCAGUCUUUUUGGGCCCUUGGCUGGGAUUGGGUUGGGCAGUGCCACUUUGCUGGUGAUCCUUCUGGAGUUUUCUUUUGGGUUGUUUGAGCCUGGGAUCAUUCUUUUUAAUGAAAGAAUUGGAUUGGCGAGGUUACUGGGUGUGUGCAUGAAGGA